rnacentral:rRNA from 1 species
UGGGGAAUAUUGGACAAUGGGUUAACGCCUGAUCCAGCCAUCCCGCGUGAAGGACGACGGUUCUAUGGAUUGUAAACUUCUUUUAUAUAGGGAUAAACCUACUCUCGUGAGAGUAGCUGAAGGUACUAUAUGAAUAAGCACCGGCUAACUCCGUGCCAGCAGCCGCGGUAAUACGGAGGGUGCAAGCGUUAUCCGGAUUUAUUGGGUUUAAAGGGUCCGUAGGCGGGCUUGUAAGUCAGUGGUGAAAUCCGGCAGCUCAACUGUCGAACUGCCAUUGAUACUGCAAGUCUUGAGUAAAUUAGAAGUGGCUGGAAUAAGUAGUGUAGCGGUGAAAUGCAUAGAUAUUACUUAGAACACCAAUUGCGAAGGCAGGUCACUAUGUUUUAACUGACGCUGAUGG